AUCGAUUGAUUAUUGCUUUGAUUUGAUGUUGUGAAUUGAUUGACUGAAUGGAAAUGACUGUGAGUGGUCUUGUUGACAUGUAAUCGACUAGGUCGAUUUGAUCGAUGCUUCGAUCGGUGAUAUGAUUUCUUGGGCGCCUAUUACGAAUUGUACUGACUUGCAGGUGGGAUCUGAGGCCAAGGUAAGUCCCCUGAACUGUGCGUGUUUAGGCAGCCUAUAGUAUAAUAAUUUACUAAUCGGGCGUUAGUGGGGUAGAACUCGCUGAGACGUAGUCUCAUCCCGGUUUGGGGAAAACAUUUUAGGACCCCAAUGAGGAGCUGAGGAGGAGAAGUCUGAGAAGGAGAACUCGGAGGUGAAAUCUGAGGAGAAGGAUUUUUGGAAGAAGAAGAUAAUUCCGAGACGGGCCUUGAGUACAGCCCGAAUGGAUUGAGAUUCUAUCUUCUUUUGAGAUCUCUAUUUUGAUGUGAAUAGAGACAGAGUGAAUAGUUAUGAAGUACUCUGGUUUGUGUUUUGUAUAAAAGUUUGAUUAUAAAUUUCAAUAUGAAAAAUAUGGCCCUGCUUUUCUAUCCCAUCGUUUUAUUGUCUAGGGAUUUUAACUGCUUCCGCAUGUACUUAAUAAACGAAAGGGUCGG
rnacentral:lncRNA from 1 species